GAGAGUUUGAUCCUGGCUCAGAUUGAACGCUGGCGGCAGGCCUAACACAUGCAAGUCGAGCGGUAGAGAGGUGCUUGCACCUCUUGAGAGCGGCGGACGGGUGAGUAAAGCCUAGGAAUCUGCCUGGUAGUGGGGGAUAACGCUCGGAAACGGACGCUAAUACCGCAUACGUCCUACGGGAGAAAGCAGGGGACCUUCGGGCCUUGCGCUAUCAGAUGAGCCUAGGUCGGAUUAGCUAGUUGGUGAGGUAAUGGCUCACCAAGGCGACGAUCCGUAACUGGUCUGAGAGGAUGAUCAGUCACACUGGAACUGAGACACGGUCCAGACUCCUACGGGAGGCAGCAGUGGGGAAUUUUGGACAAUGGGGGCAACCCUGAUCCAGCAAUGCCGCGUGAGUGAAGAAGGCCUUCGGGUUGUAAAGCUCUUUUGUCAGGGAAGAAAUGGCCUGGGCUAAUAUCCUGGGUUGAUGACGGUACCUGAAGAAUAAGCACCGGCUAACUACGUGCCAGCAGCCGCGGUAAUACGUAGGGUGCAAGCGUUAAUCGGAAUUACUGGGCGUAAAGCGUGCGCAGGCGGUUUAGUAAGACAGAGGUGAAAUGCCCGGGCUUAACCUGGGAACUGCCUUUGUGACUGCUAAGCUAGAGUGUGUCAGAGGGGGGUAGAAUUCCACGUGUAGCAGUGAAAUGCGUAGAUAUGUGGAGGAAUACCGAUGGCGAAGGCAGCCCCCUGGGAUAACACUGACGCUCAUGCACGAAAGCGUGGGGAGCAAACAGGAUUAGAUACCCUGGUAGUCCACGCCCUAAACGAUGUCUACUAGUUGUUGGAGGAGUAAAAUCCUUUAGUAACGCAGCUAACGCGUGAAGUAGACCGCCUGGGGAGUACGGUCGCAAGAUUAAAACUCAAAGGAAUUGACGGGGGCCCGCACAAGCGGUGGAUUAUGUGGAUUAAUUCGAUGCAACGCGAAAAACCUUACCUGCCCUUGACAUGUCAGGAAUCUUUCAGAGAUGAGAGAGUGCCUUCGGGAGCCUGAACACAGGUGCUGCAUGGCUGUCGUCAGCUCGUGUCGUGAGAUGUUGGGUUAAGUCCCGUAACGAGCGCAACCCUUGUCCUUAGUUGCCAGCGGUUCGGCCGGGAACUCUAAGGAGACUGCCGGUGAUAAACCGGAGGAAGGUGGGGACGACGUCAAGUCAUCAUGGCCCUUAUGGGCAGGGCUACACACGUGCUACAAUGGCCAGUACAGAAGGUUGCCAACCCGCGAGGGGGAGCUAAUCCUGAAAAGCUGGUCGUAGUCCGGAUCGCAGUCUGCAACUCGACUGCGUGAAGUCGGAAUCGCUAGUAAUCGCGAAUCAGCAUGUCGCGGUGAAUACGUUCCCGGGCCUUGUACACACCGCCCGUCACACCAUGGGAGUGGGCUGCACCAGAAGUAGGUUGCUUAACCCGUAAGGGAGGGCGCUUACCACGGUGUGGUUCAUGACUGGGGUGAAGUCGUAACAAGGUAGCCGUA
rnacentral:rRNA from 1 species